UGAAUUGAAGCCCCAGUAAACGGCGGCCGUAACUAUAACGGUCCUAAGGUAGCGAAAUUCCUUGUCGGGUAAGUUCCGACCUGCACGAAUGGCGUAACGAUCUCCACACUGUCUCGGCCAGAGACUCGGUGAAAUUGCAGUCGCGGUGAAAAUUCCGUGUACCCGCAGAAAGACGGAAAGACCCUGUGCACCUUUACUAUAGCUUGACAUUGGAUUUUGGGCCUGCAUGUGUAGGAUAGGUGGGAGGCUGUGAACCCUGUACGCCAGUAUGGGGGGAGCCAUCCUUGAAAUACCACCCUUGCAUGUUUAAGAUCCUAACUUCUUCCGGUUAUCCCGGAGAAAGACAGUGUCUGGCGGGUAGUUUGACUGGGGCGGUCGCCUCCUAAAGUGUAACGGAGGCAUGCAAAGGUUCCCUCAGCCUGAUCGGAAACCAGGCGCUGAGUGCAAACGCAUAAGGGAGCUUGACUGUAAGAGAGACAUCUCGAACAGGAACGAAAGUUGGCGUUAGUGAUCCGGUGGUCCCGAAUGGAAGGGCCAUCGCUCAUUGGAUAAAAGGUACGCCGGGGAUAACAGGCUGAUCGCAUCCAAGAGUUCACAUCGACGAUGCGGUUUGGCACCUCGAUGUCGGCUCAUCACAUCCUGGGGCUGAAGCAGGUCCCAAGGGUACGGCUGUUCGCCGUUUAAAGUGGUACGCGAGCUGGGUUUAAAACGUCGUGAGACAGUUUGGUCCCUAUCUUCUGUGGGCGAAGGAGAAUUGAGAGGGCCUGUCCCUAGUACGAGAGGACCGGGAUGGACGCACCCCUGGUGAUCCUGUUGUCGCGCCAGCGGCAUAGCAGGGUAGCUAUGUGCGGAAGGGAUAACCGCUGAAAGCAUCUAAGCGGGAAGCCUGCCUCAAGAUAAGUUCUCCCCUCGAAAGAGCUGAAGGGCCCGGGUAGACUACCCGGUCGAUAGGCUGGAGGUGUAAGCGCGGCGACGUGCUCAGCUGACCAGUACUAAUAGCCCGAGCGGCUUAUUUUU
rnacentral:rRNA from 1 species